AAAUUCAUGCACACUCACACACACAUGCACGCACGCACACACGCACACAGAACACACAGUGUUAAAAACAAACAAAGCAUCAGAAAAUCACAUGAUCUAAGAGACAGCAGUCUGAGUUUUGUGAGGCGGCUCCAGUUUGUACAACAUUCUAUAUCGUUUUCAAGAUGAUUUACCAGUAAUGAAGCUAAACGAGCAUCCACACAGACCCACAACGAAUCCACACGUCUCUGUCUGUAUUUACCUAACGGCAGUGGUUCAUAUACAAGUGGUUUUAUUCAUUGUUUGUGGCAUGAUUCAGAUUAAAAAAAAAACAAAACAACGUACAAGCAAAAAACAACAAUCUGCUACAUAUAGCAAUGUUAAAAUGGACACUGACCACAUGAGUGAAGUUUUAGCCCAUUGGUGACAAAUUACUUGAAGUGAGAGCUAACCAAUUUAAAAAUCAAACUGCUGCAUUUCUGACAAUCUGUUUUUUUUCUUCUUCAGGAAACCAUUUAAUUCCAUUAAUUUCAGCACACUGUAUAACUCAAACUUACUCAAGUUGUAUAUUCCAGUAUAACACAAAAAGAAGUUAUCUCUCAUUAUGUAAUAGCCAUCACAAAUGUCAUUACGUCACUUGGAUUUAGGGACUUGGGUGAAUUUCAACGGCAAAUUGAUGCAGCAAUACGUUUUUAUACAUUUAUGAAUACGUUUC
rnacentral:lncRNA from 1 species